CCAGACUCCUACGGGAGGCAGCAGUGGGGGAUAUUGCACAAUGGGGGAAACCCUGAUGCAGCGACGCCGCGUGAGUGAAGAAGUAUUUCGGUAUGUAAAGCUCUAUCAGCAGGGAAGAAAAAAGACGGUACCUGACUAAGAAGCCCCGGCUAACUACGUGCCAGCAGCCGCGGUAAUACGUAGGGGGCAAGCGUUAUCCGGAUUUACUGGGUGUAAAGGGAGCGUAGACGGCAAUACAAGUCGGAAGUGAAAUACCCGGGCUUAACCUGGGAACUGCUUUGGAAACUGUGCAGCUAGAGUGCAGGAGGGGUAAGUGGAAUUCCUAGUGUAGCGGUGAAAUGCGUAGAUAUUAGGAGGAACACCAGUGGCGAAGGCGGCUUACUGGACUGUAACUGACGUUGAGGCUCGAAAGCGUGGGGAGCAAACAGGAUUAGAUACCCUGGUAA
rnacentral:rRNA from 1 species